GUAGAGCAUCCUGCUGGUUGCCGUUGGUACUCCUGUAAUUAGUACAAAAUGAAACAAACAAUAAUCAGAAUACGUUCAUGCAUGCACCUGACACCAACUUAAUAGGUUUUAGAAACUUAUUAUUUCACCUCAAAUAGAGUCAAUAGCUAGACACAUUGGACAUCUGAACUUAAUAGGAAAGAAAAAUAUUAGUCCAUACCCGAGCAAUGUCUCAGUCUUAUCUAGAGCAAUGUCUCAGUUUUGUCUAGUCAAAACAUAUUGUACAUCUGAAUUUUAUAUACUUUUUAUUCCCUGAGACCAUGUAUUAAAUUAUUUGUCUCCCUUCCAGCAAACAGUGUACGUAGAGCAUCCUUCUGGUUGUCCUUGAUACUCCUGUAAUUAAUACAAAAAUUAAACAAACAAUAAUCAUAAUACGUUCAUGCACCUCACAACAACUUAACAUGGUUUAAGUAAAAAAUGAUGAUUUCAUCUCAAAGAAAAUUAAACACUUUGGAAAGAAAAAUAUUAAUAGGAUUAUUAGUUCCUUCAUCAAGAAACAUAAUCACACAUGUGAACCUGUAUGCAUGCUUGUGCGACUGAUCCCGCUGAAAAAUACAUGUAUGUGUAAAUUAAUCACCUUGUCUCCACCACGGCUGCUAAAGCCUCACCAUAUCCCUCGUGGGCAUGCAUGGGGCCAUGUAGUUAAGAUCUAAUUAUCUUCAUCCAGGUUAGUGCUAAUUUCUGUGUCACCUUUGGCCGCCCAGAAUGAUUUAGUGCGCUGCAGAUAAUGGCCAUGGUGUUGUGUCUGCUGGAUCCAUUCUUUCUUGCGGUGUUGCUUGAAGGGUUGGAUGCUACGACACUGGAUGUCGCAGCGAUUACAUAGAAUCCAAAAAAAUAACAGCAGAUUAAAGUGUAAAUCGGAAAGAAAACGAACCUGAUCUAGGUGAGGAAUUUAUUGGAUCUAAUGAACUCCUUAAGCACACUGAAUCCAUAUGCACCAGCUUACUUUGUUUUUCAUUGGCUGGAGAGAGAGAGAUAAUGGAGAUAAGGAACAUGCUCUGGAUGGAUUGGAUCGGUUGUACAUGUGAGAGAGAUAUCCAUUAUGUAGAAUAGGAAGAGUCCGUGAAGGGAGAGAAAGAUGGCGUGCGUAGAUGAAGAGGCCGUGUAGUAUAAAAGUACAUAGAGCUUUUUUUUGUAUCAAGGAGAUAGAGA
rnacentral:lncRNA from 1 species